CUCUUCUCUGUGAAGAGAAGUACUUCAUCUUUAUUAUAGUUAGAGCAUGGGAGAAAAAGAUAAGUAGGUUAGAAGAAAUCAACUCAAAGUUUAACAAAUUCCUAAAGGCCAAGUGUGGGCUACCAUGUCCACUUAGAAUGUCUCAGAGUCCCUGGAAAAUGAACACCUACCAAAUUCUCACAAGAAAAACAAGGACCAAGUUAGGAGACCUGAAAGAAACCUCUUGGUGAGGGAAACGUGUGACUUUUCCAAAGCCACAAUCACUUCCCCAAGCCUUUCUCUUGAAAAUCUUAAGCUGCUAGAGCAGUAAAAGCAAGUUGUGUUACUUCCAAGGCUCAGGAAAAUUUCCACUGCAUGUUGUAGAAUUCUGGCAGCAUAUAAGGAAAGAAUGGGAAAUGGAUAAAAGCACUGACCCUGGAUGUCAGGUGUGGUGUAUGCCUGUAAUCCCAACAGUCAGGAGGCUGAGGCAGGAGGAUCAUUAAGAGUUUGGAGCCAUCCUGUGCUACAUAGUUCAAGAACAACGUAGGGAAAAAAUGGCAGAGUGGUGAUCAGUAGCAAAAUUCAGCCUCUCUAAGAUCUAGAAUCCAGACACUGGAAAAUAACAACUUGUCCAUGAAAAAAAAAAAGGCAAAUCUCUGGGAGUCAGGAAGGAACUGACAGGAAAAAUUAGAAGCUACAGGGAAGUUGGAAAGAUGGUCCACAAUGUAGAGAAGAGACCUCUCAGCUUACAGGGAGGGAACUGGGCUCCCCAGAAGCAAAGUAAGUGCCUAGGGCUAGGAGAAAGAGCGGCAUAACUCCGUUGUGAACUGCAAAAACAGCAUGGGAUUUUGCUCCAAGUGUACUCCUUUUACAGACAGGAAACGGCUGGAGAGGGAUUCAAGUGUGGAUGGCCACCAUUUUGACAGUGCUUGAUCACUUGCCAUUAUAGGAAGAGACUGAGUAUUUAAAUCUGGGACUCAGAACAACUAAAAACCAACUUGACUCCAGGGCUCCCAGUGUUACCCUCCCACAGUAACUGGGCAAAAGAUAGCACUGGACAGGGAACAGGCUAGAAAGUGAUUCCCUGAGAUGUUUAAACUCAGGUCAGGGAAGACAUAUGCCCCAUCAUCCACAAUAAGAAGCCAGGACUGGCUUGAGUUGCACUCAGGUGCUUGGACAUGGGAUAGAAACAAAGGACUAUACUUAUCCUGAGUGCAUCACUGAAAAGUAGACUAAAGAGAUAUCCAUACUACCAACUUAUAGUGUUUCCACUAUAAGUGACCACAUACCUGCCAUGAAACAAACAACAACAGAAACAUGAGAAGACAGGGCAACAAAAUGCCUCCCAAAACUCCCAAUUCCACCAAAACCAAACCAUGGAGCACUGAGGGCGAGGAAAGGGAAAGCCCCACAAAGUAUUCAAAAAGAUUACAGAGGAGAUUAAAUAAACAUCAAUGAGGAGCUUUGUGUGCUCACAGAAAACAGAACUAAUUAGAAAAUAGAGAUAAUAAAACAAUCAGAGCUUAGAGGAGACAC
rnacentral:lncRNA from 1 species